GUUCAUGUCAAUGUCACUUGUAAUUGACUUGACAAUGACACUCAUGCGUUAAUGGUGGGUUUGGUUGGUUUGCAUUUGAAUAAAAAUACCUAGGUUAUCCAUGGUGUUUUCAUGACUUCCAAUUCAUUAUAAUCAGUUUUAAUUACAACUAGGCAUUUUCCACGUUUGAUUGAGCGUAGUGUCAUGGCAGGUUAUGAAAUACGUUCUUCGAGUAGCAAGAAAGGGAAAGGGUUGUUUGCAACGAAACACUAUAAUGAGGGUGAUGUCAUUUUGGAAGAAGAUCCUUUGGUGUCAUGUCAAUUUGCUUGGAAUGCCGCCUACCGAUACCUGGCCUGUGAUCAUUGUAUGAGGCCAAUAGAAACACCUGAACAAAACGUAAGGCGUCUGUCCUGUAAGCCAGACAUUGUGCUCCCACAUUCAAACUGUUACGAGACCAACUUGGAGAACAUUACAACGUGCGACCAGUGCGGAGUGCUGUACUGUUGCGAGGGCUGUAAGCAGCAGGCUUAUGUGACGUAUCACAGAUCGCUGUGUUAUGAUGUUAGUGAUGUACAGCAUCCAGUUAUGGUGCUUUUGGAAGCGUGGAAACAAAUGCACUAUCCACCAGAAACUACGAGCAUAAUGUUACUUGUCCGGAUAUUAGCAUACAUUGAACAAAGUCCGGAACCACCAGCGGCCGUUGCCAAAAUCAAACAGUUCUGUCACAGAACAGUGAACGAAGAUGCAGAGUUAGUUCAUAAACUACUAGGUGAACAGUUCUCUGAUCAGCUCAUCACAUUGAGAGAACUGACCAGUAACGUUAUUAGUGGUGAUCAUGCUAAAGAGUUCCUAACACCAGAAGGAUUCUGUACCCUAAUGGCGCUGAUUGGCACUAAUGGUCAAGGCAUCGGUACUAGCCCUUUAGCGAUGUGGGUUAACAACGUGCUGGAGUUGACUAUGUCUGAUGAUGAGAGGCAGCAGUUGGAUCUGUUCAUUGAUAAGCUUUAUCAGUAUGUCGAAAAGGAGUCUGGAACAUUCCUGAACACAGAGGGCUCGGGGUUGUACCAACUGCAAAGUGCAAGUAACCACAGUUGUGAACCGAAUGCAGAGUCAUCGUUCCCGUAUGGCAACCAUCGCAUACAACUCAAAGCGUUGAGGGCUAUAGCGCCUGGAGAAGAAAUAUGUAUAAGCUAUUUGGACGAAUGUGCUCUGCAAAGGUCUAGGCACUCUAGGCAAAAGGAAUUAGCUCAAAACUACCUAUUCGUGUGUUGGUGCGAACGUUGCAAUGCGCAGGCGUCGCAACCUGAUUGUACCAGUGAGGAGGACAUGAGCGAUGAAGAGAUUGACGCCGACGACUGAUGUUCCAACCUGCUGGCGUUCUGCCUGCUCGGAAUAUAGCGAGGCGAAGCCAGUUGCAAUUUCGAAGUUGGCUACAGCGGUUGAGUUGCGAAGUGGUUUGCAGUGACAAGGAUAGAUAUAUUUUACGUUAUUAUAAAAUACGAGUUUAUCAAACGAAAGUUGUUUAUUCCAUACAGACAGUUGAUAUCAAAUACUCUCAAUGUAUUCAGAUCCAAAUAAACUUCAGAUCAAUGGGAGUUUUUUCUAAAUAACUAGUACUAAAUUAUUAGGAAGGGUGCAAGGUCCAGUAAAAUUUAAGAGAAUAUAAAUGAAAAUGAAUGACUGGCCUAAGUCAUGCUUAAUGUGAUUUUCAUAUAGAUAUUUCAAUUGACGCUUGGGUUGCUAUGCGUUUGGAAAACACUGGAUAAUUAAUCUAUACAGCAUAUACCAGACUUUUAAAAUUCGGAUUUGACCGUAUGACCGAGCGAAUGAAUGAGGUCCACCAAUAAACUAGGGCAAAAAUUAGUUUUUAGUAUAAACAAAUUGCUUUUAACUCGAUAGUUUGCAAAAUUAUAAUAAUGAUGUUAAAAUAUAUGACUGUAGUUUAAAAUUUUCUUAUUAAGCGGCGCUGAAAAUAAUCGCGUGGUCUACUUUCGUGACGAACUAUUUGGGUAAGGUCGUAAAAAAAUGUAAUAAAACGCACUGUUCAAGUGCGCACAAACACAAUACACAAUACAUACACACAAUAACGCACUGGAAAUGUUCCAGUGCGUUAUUGUGUUAUAGUAAAGGUGCAUGUACAUAUACAGCUAGGUGUUUAAAAAAAGGAAAUAUUAUUUUAAUAUUUUUAUUAGUACUCAUAGGUACGUUAUUAAAAUCUACUAAUAAACUAUGAGUGUUAUGUAUGUUAUUAAAAACAGGCUUUCUUCCUAUUAUAAAAGCAAAAGUAUAAUUUUUAACAAAACUGUCUGAAACAUCGAAUCAAUUAUUAAUCAAAAUCGCACAAAUAAUUCAAAACCAAAAUUAUAAAAGCAAAAGUAUAAUUUUUAACUAAAGUGUCUGAAACAUCAAAACAAAUAUUAAUCAAAAUCGCACAAAUACUUCAAAACCAAAAUUCAGGAGACAUACUCAACAAACUAAGCUUUAACACCAAAACUAACAAUAUCAGAAACCAAAAGAUGAAGCUUGAUUUUAGUAAUCAUAAAUUAUUCAUUUACAAACAAGCCAUUAUGUCCCACAACAAAAACAGAAUGUGUCUUCAACGUUUAUCAUAAUAUAAUCAUAAAAAUAAGCAGUGAAAUAGUAAGGUAAAUAUUUUGACAUUUUAAAAAUUAAAUGUGCUUAGCUCACUCGCUGCUUCAGGGAUUUAGAUUAUUUGAAGAAAAACGGAAAUAUCAAGUUCUUAAACAAUGGUUCAUAAAAUAUCCUCAAAGAUCUUUUAAUAACUUUAGUUUUAAAAUGAUAGAAAACAUUUCCGUUUUUCUUAAAUAAUUUGUAACAAAAGUGGCAGUACUGAGUGCACUAAGCCUCUUAAAUGCACUUCAAUCGUCAAAAUAAAUGUAGUCAUCCUUUCAAAUGAAAAAUUCCUUGGAAUUUUCAGUAUUUUGAGUCAACACAAUUUUUUUCACUAUCAAAUUUGCCGUGACGAUGUCUCGAUCAUUUUUUUUGGUAUGAACAAAACGUAAUUUUGGCCUUUUUUUUAGUUUUUAGGAACGGUACUGUGUAAUGAUUUUCUCUAUAAAACCAAUACCUCCAGGCUUUUUUUUCACAAUACCUUACCAGAACACUAUCGUUUAUAUGAAGAUUCAACUCUGAUAUUUCUGUUUCAAUUUUAUCUGUUAUUAUUUCUGACGACGGCUCAAAACCCGAUUGCAUAUUGAUUUCUUCUAUCAUACCUUUCUUAUUUGUGUACGUCUUAUUGUCUCUUUGGUUUGAUUUUUGGUUCAAAGAGUCCUUUAUGCCUUAUCUCGUUUCUUUUUGGUCCUUAUCGUUAUCAGUCUCAUAUUUUAUUUUGUCCCGUACUUGCAUUUUGUAUUACAUUUAGUUCACUCCCUAAACGGCUUAAAUCUAUAUUUAUGCAUUUAUUUUGCACUUUUGUCAUUUCAAUAUCAUGAAAUUUUAUGUUUUCUAAGUCAGUACUAUCGUUAAACUGUUCUAGUCCAUCACACAUAAAAUACUCGUCGUCUGAAGAGUUAUGAAGAGAAUAUUGUUCACUAAUUUCCGUAUCAGUGCUGCUAUCAUAAUUGAUUCUUGAUCUUUUCACUUUGUGAAGAUUUCUAUUUGCUGUAACCUGCCGUUUUGUUUACUGAUGAAACAUGAAGCGAUUCUCAUCUGCAAUUUUUGAACUUUGUUAGGAUUUAAUUUAGCAUCUGGUUAAUACUCUGAACUAAAAAUGGACCAAAAUUUUGUUUUUAAUUCAAAUAUACCACUGUGUAGUUAGGAGACAAAUUAUUCAUGUACUAGUUGUUAUUUUACUGAUUUAUAAAUAUCAGUGUAUUUAUAUUAAUUGUGGCCAUAAAUUAAGCAUGGCUAUUUUUUAAUUAUUGCAGAGGUAUUAUUACUCCAUCCUAAUUAAAUAAAAAAAGUGCAAGUAGUAAAUAAAAUGUUUAAUUUUCAAGAAAACAUGGGGUCACUCUAAACUUCAAAAUAGUACAGUUUUAUACGACUUUACCCAUUAGUGUCUGCUCUUUUUACCCAAAUGUUAGACCAAACUUGCAGGUUUGGUUCGUAUGAACAGGCAUGCUACUCUGCAGGCGGCUGUAUACACAGUCGUGCAAUUUAAAUUGUAACCUGUGUAAAUUAUAAGAUAUUGUAUUGAACGCGAUAGUUUUUAAAUUAAGAACGAAAGUGGUUUCAGAGGGCCUAAUUGAUAGUAUUGAAUGAUUUAAAACUUUUUAGUAUCCCUUGUAGGACCAAGGUUUUAGAGGUAACGUUAGGGUAGAAAUAAUAUGCAAUAAAAGUGGAUAUAAAAUAUUUUACGAGAAUACUUCUUUAAUUUUUUCCGCAAAUAAAAUCAGGAAUGUUGUCCCAAUAUAUGUAUAUAUAUAUAUUUUGUAAUAUUUAUUAAAAGUUAUAUAUUUGACCUAAAAUAUUUAUUUAUUUAUGAACCAUAUAAAAAUCAGUUGGUCCAAUGCUGUGUAGGGUAGUUUAGUAAUAAAUUAAACAAAUAAGGUAUGUUCUAAGAAAUUAGGUUUAAGUCUUAUGAAAAAAUUAGGUAAAGUUGCAUGAGGAGAAAUUAAAUAAUUGUUGGAAUUUAAGGCUUAUAUUAUCUCCAGUAGAUAUUACUAAUAUAUGUAGAAACUUAUUUUUAAUAAGUGUUUUUUUUUUCUAUUAUCGCAUAUUUAAAAGUGGCUUUUACAUUUUUCAACCGCCCAGGGCUGCUCUCAUUUGGAAUAAAUAAUUUUAUCUAAAACAAAGACGAAUAUAUAAGAGAUCUGUAUUUGUAAAUUGACGUCCGA
rnacentral:misc_RNA from 1 species